GUUUCCGUGGUGUAGUGGUUAUCACAUGCGCCUCACACGCGCAAGGUCUCCGGUUCGACCCGCGGGCGGAAACA